AUGAAGCAGUUCAGGGUGAUACGUAUGGAGGAAAAGAACCAGAGCAGCGCUAGCUUGGAUAAAAGUUUCAGUGACAGAAUUUGUUUGGCAUAUGUGGAAAUCUUGGUAAAGAUCUCAACACACCUGAGCAAUGAGCACAUGUUACCAACCACAACCCACACAGGCGCAUGCGGCGGCGAGUUUAAUAGGGGCAUAAGAAACGAGAAUGGCGGGUGCGGUGACGGUCAUUCAUGUGUUGGACAAAAUAAUACACCCCAUCUGUGUCAUGAGGCUGGACUUGACAUAGACAUCAGCAAACAUGGAGCAUGGUGUUGA
rnacentral:rRNA from 1 species